rnacentral:rRNA from 1 species
UACGGAGGGUGCAAGCGUUGUCCGGAUUUAUUGGGUUUAAAGGGUGCGUAGGCGGCCCGUUAAGUCAGUGGUGAAAUCCCAGGGCUCAACCCUGGAACUGCCAUUGAUACUGACGGGCUUGAGUUCGGUUAAGGCGGGCGGAACUGGUGGUGUAGCGGUGAAAUGCGUAGAUACCACCAAGAACCCCGAUUGCGUAGGCAGCUCGCUGGGCCGAAACUGACGCUGAGGCACGAAAGCGUGGGGAGCGAACAGG